AAUUUAUAUACACACCAUAUUCUAUCUACCCAAUCCAAAUCCUAAAUCAGUUUAUCUCCUUUCCUUUCCAUUCUCACUUUCUCCUCUCUUCACCUCCCCUCUUUCUCUACGCUCUCCCUCAAACCGUCGUAAGCGUUGGUGCGUCCUUCGUCGGAUGCCACCUCCAAUCGUCACUGCAGACCCAUGCCUUGAUGUAAGCGUCGCAGCAGUAUCCAAUGUGAGCACUGCAGCAAUAGUUGACAGAGUUGGAGGCAAAGUAAGCUGUGCUUUUGGUGUUGAUAGAGUUGGAUUUAUGUUUUGGUAUUGGAAAAUUUGAAUUCGUGUUUUGGAUUUGUGGUCUUGGAUCAAUGGCUUUCAUUGUCGGUGUGUUUGGUGGUUGGGUAUGGUCGGAUUUGUAUUUUGGAUCUAUGUUUUCGGAAUUGUGAUUGCAAAUCAAUGGCUGUCAUUGUCACUGGCAGUGCGGUGUAGUGCGAGCGGGUUGUUCGGUUGGUAGUGAUUGUGGUUUAUGGUGAUAUGGUUUCUGUGUUGAUGUGGUCUCUCGACGUAACAUUGGUGGUCACAAAUUAUUUGAUUGAUUGUAAUUAAUAAAUUAAUUAACUUGUGACCAUUUAUUUGAGAUUGUAACUAAUAAAUUAUGUGAUCUAAAAAUUUGUGGUGUG
rnacentral:lncRNA from 1 species